CAGGCUUAACACAUGCAAGUCGAGGGGCAGCAUGGUCUUAUCUUGCUAAGGCCGAUGGCGACCGGCGCACGGGUGAGUAACACGUAUCCAACCUGCCGUCUACUCUUGGACAGCCUUCUGAAAGGAAGAUUAAUACAAGAUGGCAUCAUGAGUCCGCAUGUUCACAUGAUUAAAGGUAUUCCGGUAGACGAUGGGGAUGCGUUCCAUUAGAUAGUAGGCGGGGUAACGGCCCACCUAGUCUUCGAUGGAUAGGGGUUCUGAGAGGAAGGUCCCCCACAUUGGAACUGAGACACGGUCCAAACUCCUACGGGAGGCAGCAGUGAGGAAUAUUGGUCAAUGGGCGAGAGCCUGAACCAGCCAAGUAGCGUGAAGGAUGACUGCCCUAUGGGUUGUAAACUUCUUUUAUAAAGGAAUAAAGUCGGGUAUGGAUACCCGUUUGCAUGUACUUUAUGAAUAAGGAUCGGCUAACUCCGUGCCAGCAGCCGCGGUAAUACGGAGGAUCCGAGCGUUAUCCGGAUUUAUUGGGUUUAAAGGGAGCGUAGAUGGAUGUUUAAGUCAGUUGUGAAAGUUUGCGGCUCAACCGUAAAAUUGCAGUUGAUACUGGAUAUCUUGAGUGCAGUUGAGGCAGGCGGAAUUCGUGGUGUAGCGGUGAAAUGCUUAGAUAUCACGAAGAACUCCGAUUGCGAAGGCAGCCUGCUAAGCUGCAACUGACAUUGAGGCUCGAAAGUGUGGGUAUCAAACAGGAUUAGAUACCCUGGUAGUCCACACGGUAAACGAUGAAUACUCGCUGUUUGCGAUAUACUGCAAGCGGCCAAGCGAAAGCGUUAAGUAUUCCACCUGGGGAGUACGCCGGCAACGGUGAAACUCAAAGGAAUUGACGGGGGCCCGCACAAGCGGAGGAACAUGUGGUUUAAUUCGAUGAUACGCGAGGAACCUUACCCGGGCUUAAAUUGCAGAUGAAUUACGGUGAAAGCCGUAAGCCGCAAGGCAUCUGUGAAGGUGCUGCAUGGUUGUCGUCAGCUCGUGCCGUGAGGUGUCGGCUUAAGUGCCAUAACGAGCGCAACCCUUGUUGUCAGUUACUAACAGGUUCCGCUGAGGACUCUGACAAGACUGCCAUCGUAAGAUGUGAGGAAGGUGGGGAUGACGUCAAAUCAGCACGGCCCUUACGUCCGGGGCUACACACGUGUUACAAUGGGGGGUACAGAGGGCCGCUACCACGCGAGUGGAUGCCAAUCCCCAAAACCUCUCUCAGUUCGGACUGGAGUCUGCAACCCGACUCCACGAAGCUGGAUUCGCUAGUAAUCGCGCAUCAGCCACGGCGCGGUGAAUACGUUCCCGGGCCUUGUACACACCGCCCGUCAAGCCAUGGGAGCCGGGGGUACCUGAAGUGCGUAACCGCGAGGAGCACCCUAGGGUAAAACUGGUGACUGGGGCUAA
rnacentral:rRNA from 1 species